rnacentral:rRNA from 1 species
GGUUAAGCGACUAAGCGUACACGGUGGAUGCCCUGGCAGUCAGAGGCGAUGAAGGACGUGCUAAUCUGCGAAAAGCGUCGGUAAGGUGAUAUGAACCGUUAUAACCGGCGAUGUCCGAAUGGGGAAACCCAGUGCAAUUCGUUGCACUAUCGUUAACUGAAUACAUAGGUUAACGAGGCGAACCGGGGGAACUGAAACAUCUAAGUACCCCGAGGAAAAAAAAUCAACCGAGAUUCCCCCAGUAGCGGCGAGCGAACGGGGAGCAGCCCAGAGUCUGAAUCAGCUUGUGUGUUAGUGGAACGGUCUGGAAAGUCCGACGGUACAGGGUGAUAGUCCCGUACACCAAAAUGCACAGGCUGUGAACUCGAAGAGUAGGGCGGGACACGUGGUAUCCUGUCUGAAUAUGGGGGGACCAUCCUCCAAGGCUAAAUACUCCUGACUGACCGAUAGUGAACCAGUACCGUGAGGGAAAGGCGAAAAGAACCCCGGCGAGGGGAGUGAAAAAGAACCUGAAACCGUGUACGUACAAGCAGUGGGAGCACCUUCGGGUGUGACUGCGUACCUUUUGUAUAAUGGGUCAGCGACUUAUAUUCUGUAGCAAGGUUAACCGUAUAGGGGAGCCGCAGGGAAACCGAGUCUUAACUGGGCGUUAAGUUGCAGGGUAUAGACCCGAAACCCGGUGAUCUAGCCAUGGGCAGGUUGAAGGUUGGGUAACACUAACUGGAGGACCGAACCGACUAAUGUUGAAAAAUUAGCGGAUGACUUGUGGCUGGGGGUGAAAGGCCAAUCAAACCGGGAGAUAGCUGGUUCUCCCCGAAAGCUAUUUAGGUAGCGCCUCGUGAACUCAUCUUCGGGGGUAGAGCACUGUUUCGGCUAGGGGGUCAUCCCGACUUACCAACCCGAUGCAAACUACGAAUACCGAAGAAUGUUAUCACGGGAGACACACGGCGGGUGCUAACGUCCGUCGUGAAGAGGGAAACAACCCAGACCGCCAGCUAAGGUCCCAAAGUCAUGGUUAAGUGGGAAACGAUGUGGGAAGGCACAGACAGCCAGGAUGUUGGCUUAGAAGCAGCCAUCAUUUAAAGAAAGCGUAAUAGCUCACUGGUCGAGUCGGCCUGCGCGGAAGAUGUAACGGGGCUAAACCAUGCACCGAAGCUGCGGCAGCGACACUAUGUGUUGUUGGGUAGGGGAGCGUUCUGUAAGCCUGCGAAGGUGUGCUGUGAGGCAUGCUGGAGGUAUCAGAAGUGCGAAUGCUGACAUAAGUAACGAUAAAGCGGGUGAAAAGCCCGCUCGCCGGAAGACCAAGGGUUCCUGUCCAACGUUAAUCGGGGCAGGGUGAGUCGACCCCUAAGGCGAGGCCGAAAGGCGUAGUCGAUGGGAAACAGGUUAAUAUUCCUGUACUUGGUGUUACUGCGAAGGGGGGACGGAGAAGGCUAUGUUAGCCGGGCGACGGUUGUCCCGGUUUAAGCAUGUAGGCUGGUUAUCCAGGCAAAUCCGGAUAAUCAAGGCUGAGGUGUGAUGACGAGGCACUACGGUGCUGAAGUAACAAAUGCCCUGCUUCCAGGAAAAGCCUCUAAGCAUCAGGUAACAUCAAAUCGUACCCCAAACCGACACAGGUGGUCAGGUAGAGAAUACCAAGGCGCUUGAGAGAACUCGGGUGAAGGAACUAGGCAAAAUGGUGCCGUAACUUCGGGAGAAGGCACGCUGGUGUGUAGGUGAAGUCCCUGCGGAUGGAGCUGAGACCAGUCGAAGAUACCAGCUGGCUGCAACUGUUUAUUAAAAACACAGCACUGUGCAAACACGAAAGUGGACGUAUACGGUGUGACGCCUGCCCGGUGCCGGAAGGUUAAUUGAUGGGGUUAUCCGUAAGGAGAAGCUCUUGAUCGAAGCCCCGGUAAACGGCGGCCGUAACUAUAACGGUCCUAAGGUAGCGAAAUUCCUUGUCGGGUAAGUUCCGACCUGCACGAAUGGCGUAAUGAUGGCCAGGCUGUCUCCACCCGAGACUCAGUGAAAUUGAACUCGCUGUGAAGAUGCAGUGUACCCGCGGCAAGACGGAAAGACCCCGUGAACCUUUACUAUAGCUUGACACUGAACAUUGAGCCUUGAUGUGUAGGAUAGGUGGGAGGCUUUGAAGCGUGGACGCCAGUCUGCGUGGAGCCAACCUUGAAAUACCACCCUUUAAUGUUUGAUGUUCUAACGUUGGCCCCUUACCGGGGUUGCGGACAGUGUCUGGUGGGUAGUUUGACUGGGGCGGUCUCCUCCCAAAGCGUAACGGAGGAGCACGAAGGUUAGCUAAUCCUGGUCGGACAUCAGGAGGUUAGUGCAAUGGCAUAAGCUAGCUUGACUGCGAGCGUGACGGCGCGAGCAGGUGCGAAAGCAGGUCAUAGUGAUCCGGUGGUUCUGAAUGGAAGGGCCAUCGCUCAACGGAUAAAAGGUACUCCGGGGAUAACAGGCUGAUACCGCCCAAGAGUUCAUAUCGACGGCGGUGUUUGGCACCUCGAUGUCGGCUCAUCACAUCCUGGGGCUGAAGUAGGUCCCAAGGGUAUGGCUGUUCGCCAUUUAAAGUGGUACGCGAGCUGGGUUUAGAACGUCGUGAGACAGUUCGGUCCCUAUCUGCCGUGGGCGCUGGAGAAUUGAGGGGGGCUGCUCCUAGUACGAGAGGACCGGAGUGGACGCAUCACUGGUGUUCGGGUUGUCAUGCCAAUGGCACUGCCCGGUAGCUAAAUGCGGAAGAGAUAAGUGCUGAAAGCAUCUAAGCACGAAACUUGCCCCGAGAUGAGUUCUCCCUGAGACUUUAAGUCUCCUGAAGGAACGUUGAAGACGACGACGUUGAUAGGCCGGGUGUGUAAGCGCAGCGAUGCGUUGAGCUAACCGGUACUAAUGAACCGUGAGGCUUAACCUU